ACGCACGCUGGCGGCGUGCUUAACCCAUGCAAGUCGAACGGAAAGGCCCUGCUUGCAGGGUCCUCGAGUGGCGAACGGGUGAGUAACACGUGGGUGAUCUGCCCUGCACUUCGGGAUAAGCCUGGGAAACUGGGUCUAAUACCGGAUAGGAGCCAUUUUUAGUGUGAUGGUUGGAAAGUUUUUUCGGUGUAGGAUGAGCUCGCGGCCUAUCAGCUUGUUGGUGGGGUAAUGGCCUACCAAGGCGGCGACGGGUAGCCGGCCUGAGAGGGUGGACGGCCACAUUGGGACUGAGAUACGGCCCAGACUCCUACGGGAGGCAGCAGUGGGGAAUAUUGCACAAUGGGCGCAAGCCUGAUGCAGCGACGCCGCGUGGGGGAUGACGGCCUUCGGGUUGUAAACUCCUUUCGCUAGGGACGAAGCUUUUUGUGACGGUACCUAGAUAAGAAGCACCGGCUAACUACGUG
rnacentral:rRNA from 1 species